UACGUAGGCAGCGAGCGUUGUUCGGAGUUACUGGGCGUAAAGCGUGCGUAGGCGGUGUCUUAAGUUUGUUGUGAAAUCUCCCGGCUUAACCGGGAGGGUGCGGCGAAUACUGAGAUGCUGGAGUGCCGGAGAGGUAAGCGGAAUUCCUGGUGUAGCGGUGAAAUGCGUAGAUAUCAGGAGGAACACCUGCGGUGUAGACGGCUUACUGGACGGUAACUGACGCUGAGGCACGAAAGUGUGGGUAGCAAACAGG
rnacentral:rRNA from 1 species